rnacentral:snoRNA from 14 species
UGGUGCUGUGAUGACGUCUUAAAACUGUGGUUCUGACUCACUCACUGAGAGGAGUGUGAGGACCUACAAUUCCUUGGCUGUGUCUGAGCACC